AGGACUAUACUUUCAGGGAUCAUUUCUAUAGGUCUUAAUUGUGGAAAUGUCACAGAAAGUGUCCAAGCUCACCAACCAUGAGGAGGAGCUGUAGUGAUCUCUCUUGAGCGCGAAGUGAGCUUUCAGUUCUGCUUCAUUGCAGGGACUGGCUGCUGUUGAUGACCGUUCUCCUCCUUCUCUAUCAUAGAGAGGGUGGAGAGAGAUUACAAGCUGAGUGGU